GUGUCAGCCGCCGCGGUAAUACGUAGGGUGCGAGCGUUAAUCGGAAUUACUGGGCGUAAAGCGUGCGCAGGCGGUUAUACAAGACAGGCGUGAAAUCCCCGGGCUUAACCUGGGAAUGGCGCCUGUGACUGUAUAGCUAGAGUGUGUCAGAGGGGGGUAGAAUUCCACGUGUAGCAGUGAAAUGCGUAGAUAUGUGGAGGAAUACCAAUGGCGAAGGCAGCCCCCUGGGAUAACACUGACGCUCAUGCACGAAAGCGUGGGGAGCAAACAGGAUUAGAAACCCUAGUAGUCC
rnacentral:rRNA from 1 species